UAUUGGACAAUGGGCGAAAGCCUGAUCCAGCAAUACCGCGUGUGUGAAGAAGGCCUUAGGGUUGUAAAGCACUUUCAAUUGGGAAGAAAACCUGCCGGUCAAUACCCGGUAGCUUGACAUUACCUUUAGAAGAAGCACCGGCUAACUCCGUGCCAGCAGCCGCGGUAAUACGGAGGGUGCGAGCGUUAAUCGGAAUUACUGGGCGUAAAGCGUGCGUAGGCGGUUCGUUAAGUCAGAUGUGAAAGCCCUGGGCUCAACCUGGGAACUGCAUUUGAAACUGGCGGACUAGAGUUUAGUAGAGGGGAGUGGAAUUUCAGGUGUAGCGGUGAAAUGCGUAGAUAUCUGAAGGAACACCAGUGGCGAAGGCGACUCCCUGGACUAGAACUGACGCUGAGGACGGA
rnacentral:rRNA from 1 species